CUGUUGGUCCUCUUCACAUGUAAAUUUAUAAGGUUAUGCAACAGCUUCUGCAAUUACUAUUUUUCUUUUUGUGUGCAGAAUUUUCCCUGUGUCCCAUAACUAAGUUUCCUUUCAAGUCUGGGAUAAGCCUAUGCUUGAUAUAUUUUAGGCAAAAGAAGGAAAUGCACAGAGGUUCUACAGAUACAUUGGCCAGAAAAGAAAGACUAUGGAGUGUGUAGCACCUCUGACAAAUGAAGAUGGAGAACUGGUAAUGAGAAGAUGUGGAGAAGGCAGAUGUAUUUAGAUGUGAUGUGCUUGUGUCUUUCUAACUUCCAUGCACUUAGAUUGUCAGUUCUUUGCUGUGGGACAGGAUGGCUUCUGUUAUCUCCCAGACAAUGCAAGAAUCUCCAAAGAUCAAGUACAGAAUAAUAGAUGUUGAAGCUGCAAAUUCUGCCAAUAUCAUCACUGUUCUAAUGUCAGUGGAUUUAGUUAGUACAUUAUAUUUGGAAUUCAGAGAACGAAGAAAGGUAGAGAGAAAACUUUAUGAAGCUAGUAGUUCAAUUAUUUUCUGAAAGACACCUGCAAGGUGAUUAUUAUUAUUAUUUACUAAAAAUUAACUCAGUAACUUGAAUUUA
rnacentral:lncRNA from 1 species